rfam:Coprinopsis cinerea okayama7#130 cont3.68 mitochondrial, whole genome shotgun sequence.
AGGAGGUUAGCUGAGUGGUUUAGCAGUAAUUUUACACAUUGCAGACAGAGUUUCGAUUACUCUACUUCCUA